UUAUACGGGGGUUGCGAACGUUAUCCGGAAUUAUUGGGCGUAAAGAGAUGCGUAGGCGUUUUAUUAAGUCUUUUGUUAAAUCCUAUGGCUUACCCAUAGAAUCGCAGAGGAAACUGGUAAAAUUGAGAAAAGCAGAGGAAGAUAGAAUUCACCGAGUACUAGUGAAAUGGGUUGAUACGGUGAGGAAUACCAAUGGCGAAGGCAGUCUUCUGGGCUUUUUCUGACGCUAAGGCUCGAAAGCGUGGGGAGCAAAACGG
rnacentral:rRNA from 1 species